GCGCUCGUAGCUCAACUGGAUAGAGCACCGGUCUUCGGAACCGGGGGUUGGGGGUUCGAAUCCCUCCGGGCGUACCA
rnacentral:tRNA from 5 species